ensembl:lincRNA
AGAAUAAAUGAUUCCCUGAUCCAGAUGUUUGAUGUGCAAACAGGGAAAGAUGUGAUCCCUGCUAGUAAACUGCCUGCUGGGGAAACCGUUGUGCAACAUAGAAGCUUCCCUAACUAGGUGACCGACACAUCCAUUGUCACGAGGCUACCUCUGUCGCUGCCCUCCAUGUGAGCUGCUGUGUGUUGAAAACACUGGAAGCAGCCUCCCCAGCAAAUCUUCGCCUGCUGGAGAUCUGUCUCUGAGACAAAUAUAGAGGAUGGAGAUGUUUGUCGGCUUGUCUGCCAUCAAAGACCCAAUUGCUUCCUGCGUUGCAGGAAAUGAAGUGCAGCCUCUCAGCCCCACCCACCUCCACAAGUGACUGUCAGUGGAGAACAAGCUGAAGCAGUUGGACUUGCUCUGAGUUCCCAGAUCUGAGCCAAUUCAAAGCUCACAAUGUCAUUAAACCACCAGUACUUGGAGGAGAGCUUAAACACUGCUUUGUCCAGUUACUUUCAAAGAGAGUUUCUAGGAAGAGCUAUUCCAAAUAUCAGUCUGUCAUUUUCACCACCGAAGGUAAAAUCAGGGUUUGUUUUGUUUUGUUUUGUUUUGUUUUGUUUUGUUUUGUUGAGAUUCAUCCACGUUUCUCCUGAACAAGUACAGAGCCACGUGCUGUGCUCCCUGCUCAAGUCUUAGACAGUUUGCCCUGCAUCGCUUUCCUUUUUUUCCCAUUGAUUAAUUUAUUUACUACUUUACAUCUGGAUGAAACAUAUCCUCCUUUCUCUCCUCCCAGUCCCUCCCUCUCCCCUUGCCCCCAGCCCCUCCCUCCACACCUCCUCCAAGCUUAUCAUCUGUGGCUUCCUGUCCCCAUCUGGGGCUCCUGCCCUGCCCGUCUUGUCACUUACAAUACACUAGACUCAGAUAUUUGCCUGACUACCCCUGUUCAUCACUCAGAGCUGGCUCAAAUAUGACCUUUGAGAGAGCCUUCCCUACCACCCCAUCGUGUAGCUUCCUCCCUAUGCCCUCUGGGUCAAUCACGUGGCUUGGGUUUGCUUGUUCCCAGCUGUGUGCAUCCCUCUAGGCUGAGCCCUUGACAUGUGUAUGUCCUAUCUCCUCACUCUAGUGUCAGCUCCAGGAGAAAGACCCUGCCCCUAUCCUGCCCUGCUUCUGGGCGGCUUUAAAUUGCUCUUUGUGUUAUACACUGCUGUGCCUUAAAAAAAAAAAUCCUUUCCAAAGACACUUUGUGUUCCCCAGAAAUUUUCAAAGUGUGCAGUGUAGGAAGAGACGGGAGGAAGAAGGGACUGGAUUGAAAGAAAAUGGUCCCUUGUGAUCUGGUGACAGAGCCAGACAGAGCAGAUGUCAUAAGACUCCAGUUAUUUUCCAGCCCUGGUGUGGCAGUGGUGUGACCAGCAGCCAGUCAUACCACCCUGCCUUUCACAACCUUGAAGAGACAUGUCACUCAGCUCUCUAAACCAGUUUGUCAGCUUCAUCAGUCCAGCACACAAGAGCGUCUAAGCAGCAGUCAACAGAGCUGAGAGAAAUCAAAAAGGGGAAAAAAAACAACAAAAAACUAGGAGAAAGCUGAAAUUCUUCUCCUAAGUCAACAGACAAUGCAAUAGACGUUCACUGACUUUAAAACAGUAAGCACUGGGGUUUUGAGAAAACAGCUGAUGACCUUAAGAAUCAAGAAAGCAUGUCAGCAAUAGACGAAAUAGAACCACUGUGUAUAUGGCAUAGAGCAAUGUUUCCAAUC